AUUGAACGCUGGCGGCAGGCCUAACACAUGCAAGUCGAGCGGAUGAAGGGAGCUUGCUCCUGGAUUCAGCGGCGGACGGGUGAGUAAUGCCUAGGAAUCUGCCUGGUAGUGGGGGAUAACGUCCGGAAACGGGCGCUAAUACCGCAUACGUCCUGAGGGAGAAAGUGGGGGAUCUUCGGACCUCACGCUAUCAGAUGAGCCUAGGUCGGAUUAGCUAGUUGGUGGGGUAAAGGCCUACCAAGGCGACGAUCCGUAACUGGUCUGAGAGGAUGAUCAGUCAAACUGGAACUGAAACACGGGCCCACCUCCUACGGGAGGCAGCGGGGGGGAAUAUUGGAAAAUGGGCGAAAGCCUGAUCCAGCCAUGCGGCGGGUGUGAAGAAGGUCUUCGGUUUGUAAAGCAUUUUAAGUUGGGAGGAAGGGCAGUAAGUUAAAACCUUGCUUUUUUAGCGUUACCAACAAAAAAAGCCCCGGCUAACUUCGU
rnacentral:rRNA from 1 species